UACAGAGGUGGCAAGCGUUGUUCGGAAUUACUGGGCGUAAAGGGCGCGUAGGCGGCCUUCUAAGUCGGACGUGAAAACCCCAGGCUUAACCUGGGAACUGCGUCCGAUACUGGGAGGCUUGGAUUCGGGAGAGGGAUGUGGAAUUCCACGUGUAGCGGUGAAAUGCGUAGAGAUGUGGAGGAACACCAAUGGCGAAGGCAGCCUUCUGGGCCAACACUGACGCUCAUGCACGAAAGCGUGGGGAGCAAACAGG
rnacentral:rRNA from 1 species